rnacentral:rRNA from 1 species
AACGAACGCUGGCGGCAUGCCUAACACAUGCAAGUCGAACGAGACCUUCGGGUCUAGUGGCGCACGGGUGCGUAACACGUGGGAAUCUGCCCUUCGGUUCGGAAUAACAGAGAGAAAUUUCUGCUAAUACCGGAUGAUGACGUAAGUCCAAAGAUUUAUCGCCGAAGGAUGAGCCCGCGUAGGAUUAGGUAGUUGGUGGGGUAAUGGCCCACCAAGCCGACGAUCCUUAGCUGGUCUGAGAGGAUGAUCAGCCACACUGGGACUGAGACACGGCCCAGACUCCUACGGGAGGCAGCAGUGGGGAAUAUUGGACAAUGGGCGAAAGCCUGAUCCAGCAAUGCCGCGUGAGUGAUGAAGGCCUAGGGUUGUAAAGCUCUUUUAUCAGGGAUGAUAAUGACAGUACCUGGAGAAUAAGCUCCGGCUAACUCCGUGCCAGCCGCCGCCGUAA